UACGGGGGGGGGCAAGCGUUUGUUCGGGAAUUACUGGGCGUAAAGGGCGCGUAGGCGGCCUUCUAAGUCGAACGUGAAAUCCCCGGGCUCAACCCGGGAACUGCGUCCGAUACUGGAAGGCUUGAAUCCGGGAGAGGGAUGCGGAAUUCCAGGUGUAGCGGUGAAAUGCGUAGAUAUCUGGAGGAACACCGGUGGCGAAGGCGGCAUCCUGGACCGGUAUUGACGCUGAGGCGCGAAAGCCAGGGGAGCAAAGCGGG
rnacentral:rRNA from 1 species